rnacentral:rRNA from 1 species
UGGGGAAUAUUGCACAAUGGGGGGAACCCGUGAUGCAGCGACGCCGCGUGGGUGAAGGAGUAUUUCGGUAUGUAAAGCCCUAUCAGCAGGGAAGAAACAAUGACGGUACCUGACUAAGAAGCACCGGCUAAAUACGUGCC